UACGAAGGGGGCUAGCGUUGCUCGGAAUUACUGGGCGUAAAGCGCACGUAGGCGGCUAUGCAAGUCGGGCGUGAAAUCCCACGGCUCAACCGUGGAAGUGCACUCGAAACUGCGUAGCUAGAGUCCUGGAGAGGAAGGUGGAAUGCUUGGUGUAGAGGUGAAAUUCGUAGAUAUCAAGCGGAACACCGGUGGCGAAGGCGGCCUUCUGGACAGUGACUGACGCUGAGACGCGAAAGCGUGGGGAGCAAACAGG
rnacentral:rRNA from 1 species